GUGCUCAGAACAGUGUGAGAGUACUGGGUGGGCCAAUGCAAUUUGAAGGUUUCAGUUUCUCGUGUUGUGUUGCUGCUUUAUGGCUAGCUAGGAGAGAGAAGUGGCAUGGCUACAAGUCCCACUUCAUGCAUCUUUUCUUGGAGGAUGCAUCAGAGGAGCUCUGGUACUUGUUAAGAAAAGGAGGUAAACUGAAACUGUAGUAUAUGGGGUAGAGCUUAGCUGCCCAGAAGUGAGCAGCAGAUCUGCAGACAUCACUGUUCAGACAGGGAUGACAGAGCCACUGAAGUGUCUGAAGAGGUUCUGGGAGAGGAUAGUCUAGGUCCUGACAUAGAAAGAGCUCUUUACCUGUGGAAAAUGGCAAGAAGUAGUCACUCUUUCUGAAGGUACCAUUUGCAUUCAGGAAAUGUUCCGGGUCAAAUUUUUCUGGAUUAGGAAAUUCCUUGGAGUCGUGCAGGAUGGGAGACAGCAAAGGGAAUAUCAUGGUGUCCUGAAUAAGCAUAGAGAGGAGAAAGUUAAGUGGAGACAUGCCAAAGUGAAGCCCCAUCGAUCAGUCCCCAGGGCUGAAUACAUGAAAAGCCCUGCUUUGGUGACUGCUGUGUGAUCCCAGUAAGCUUCACUGUCUGCCAGAAUUAAGUGUUGAAAUCCCAUGAGAAAAGCUGGUGCAAAUGCAAAA